rnacentral:rRNA from 1 species
CGAGUCCGAGUCUCCACGGAGACGAAGUGGCGGUCAUCCAGCUUCCUAGAAAAGCUCUAACCACGUUAAUCUUUAGUUGCCUGUACCCGAAACCGACACAGGUAGGGGGGUAGAGAAUACCAAGGGGCGCGAGAUAACUCUCUCCAAGGAACUCGGCAAAAUGACCCCGUAACUUCGGGAGAAGGGGUACCACUGAGAAGUGGUCGCAGUGAAGAGGCCCAGGCGACUGUUUACCAAAAACACAGGUCUCCGCCAAGUCGCAAGACGAAGUAUGGGGGCUGACGCCUGCCCAGUGCCGGAAUGUUAAGGAAGUGGGUUAGGGAUUCGUCCCGAAGCUGACGACUGAAGCCCCGGUGAACGGCGGCCGUAACUAUAACGGUCCUAAGGUAGCGAAAUUCCUUGUCGGGUAAGUUCCGACCCGCACGAAAGGCGUAACGAUCUGGGCGCUGUCUCGGAGAGAGGCUCGGCGAAAUAGGAUUGUCUGUGAAGAUACGGACUACCUGCACCUGGACAGAAAGACCCUAUGAAGCUUUACUGUAGCUUGGAAUUGGGUUCGGGCUUGGUUUGCGCAGGAUAGGUGGGAGGCGAAGAAGAUUUGCUUGUGGGUGAAUCUGAGCCAACGGUGAGAUACCACUCUAACCAGGCUAGAAUUCUAACUUCAACCCGUCAACCGGGGGAAGGACAGUUUCAGGUGGGCAGUUUGACUGGGGCGGUCGCCUCCUAAAAGAUAACGGAGGCGCACAAAGGUUCCCUCAGGCUGGUUGGAAAUCAGCCAACGAGUGCAAAGGCAGAAGGGAGCUUGACUGCGAGACCUACAAGUCAAGCAGGGUGGAAACACGGUCUUAGUGAUCCGACGGCACCGAGUGGAAGGGCCGUCGCUCAACGGAUAAAAGUUACUCUAGGAUAACAGGCUGAUCUCCCCCAAGAGUUCACAUCGACGGGGAGGUUUGGCACCUCGAUGUCGGCUCAUCCAACCUGGGGCGGAAGUACGUCCCAAGGGUUGGGCUGUUCGCCCAUUAAGGCGGUACGUGAGCUGGGUUCAGAACGUCGUGAGACAGUUCGGUCCAUAUCCGGUGUAGGCGCAAGAACAUUGAGAGGAGUCUUCCUUAGUACGAGAGGACCGGGAAGAACGCACCGCUGGUGUACCUGUUAUCGUGCCAACGGUAAACGCAGGGUAGCCAAGUGCGGAGUGGAUAACCGCUGAAAGCAUCUAAGUGGGAAGCCCACCUCAAGAUGAGUGUUCUCAUGGAGUAAUCCAGUAAGGUCACGGGAAGACGACCCGUUGAUAGGCGGUAGGUGGAAGUUCAGCAAUGGAUGAAGCCGAGCCGUACUAACAGACCGAGGGCUUGACC